rnacentral:lncRNA from 1 species
CUCGCCUCCUUGGGAGGGAGUGUCCAGCUCCCAAAACCUGUCGUGGGUUUUGUCCCAAGUGACUUCAGCCAGCAGAUGGUUCAAGUCCUGAGGCUGCAAAAUUCGGGGUGGAAGGAGUGGGGCGUAAGGCUGAGAGUGGGGAGAGCAAUCCAGGGGCGCCAGGGUGGGAGCCGCAGCGGGCCCGCGGCCGCCCGGAGGACACUGAUGCUUCUGGAGCUCGCGAAGGGUCCCCCGCGGGAGAGGAACAAGGCCGCUUGCGCUCCGCAGAGGCGCAGGCACGGGGCUGGGGCCCGGGGCGGGGGCGCGGGUGGGCGGACCCCUCCCGCAAGCCCAUGAUGGCCAGGCCAAGGCCGCUGGGAAAGGCAGGACGCUCGCCCAUGCGCUGCCAGCUGGGCUUUUCUCCUUCGCCCGCCCUGUGUUCCAGGGCGCGACCCCGUUCGGUCCAGCCGCUGGCUCCGGGGCUGAACCCCAGAAGUAACCAAAUUUACUCACGUAGGCCAGGAAUUUCUAUGACGUGUUCCAAAUUCAGCCUCUCACUGAACACUUCCAGAGCAAGGCAACAUAAACAUCUGCAAGAAGAACAUUGUGUGAGAAAUAUCAAGUGAGAGUGGAAGAGUCUGCGGAGGGCCUCCCUGGGGCUCACCUGUGCUUUUGCCUGAGCUUCACCGUGUCAAGGAUGCAGCACUUUUUCCCUCUGGAGGAAGCAGCUUUCACCUUGGAAGAAUCUUGACCUUGCCAUUCAAAGUCACCAGACAGGGAAUCUGCCAGUGCCUUGAUCUUAGACUUCCCAGCUUCUGUAACUGUGAGCAAUAAAU